CAUUGCAUUUGUUUUUGUUUUGGCAUUAUUGUACUAAAAUGUUCCUAUUUUGAUCAAUGAAGUUGAAAUGGUUGUUAAUUAUUGUGUCUAUUCCCAUGCACCUAUUUGAUGAUAACAAAAAGGGGGAGAAGUAAAGAUAGAGCAAUAAGAGGAGAAGUAAAGAAAGAAAGAGAAAUAACUUGUAAAACAAAUUGAAAAU
rnacentral:lncRNA from 1 species